rnacentral:rRNA from 1 species
GAUCCUGGCUUAGGAUGAACGCUAGCUACAGGCUUAACACAUGCAAGUCGAGGGGCAGCAUGAACUUAGCUUGCUAAGUUUGAUGGCGACCGGCGCACGGGUGAGUAACACGUAUCCAACCUGCCGAUGACUCGGGGAUAGCCUUUCGAAAGAAAGAUUAAUACCCGAUGGCAUAGUUCUUCCGCAUGGUAGAACUAUUAAAGAAUUUCGGUCAUCGAUGGGGAUGCGUCCCAUUAGGUUGUUGGG